AGGGAUCAUUACCGAGUUUACAACUCCCAAACCCAAUGUGAACCAUACCAAACUGUUGCCUCGGCGGGGUCACGCCCCGGGUGCGUCGCAGCCCCGGAACCAGGCGCCCGCCGGAGGGACCAACCAAACUCUUUUCUGUAGUCCCCUCGCGGACGUUAUUUCUUACAGCUCUGAGCAAAAAUUCAAAAUGAAUCAAAACUUUCAACAACGGAUCUCUUGGUUCUGGCAUCGAUGAAGAACGCAGCGAAAUGCGAUAAGUAAUGUGAAUUGCAGAAUUCAGUGAAUCAUCGAAUCUUUGAACGCACAUUGCGCCCGCCAGUAUUCUGGCGGGCAUGCCUGUCCGAGCGUCAUUUCAACCCUCGAACCCCUCCGGGGGGUCGGCGUUGGGGACCUCGGGAGCCCCUAAGACGGGAUCCCGGCCCCGAAAUACAGUGGCGGUCUCGCCGCAGCCUCUCCUGCGCAGUAGUUUGCACAACUCGCACCGGGAGCGCGGCGCGUCCACGUCCGUAAAACACCCAACUUCUGAAAUGUUGACCUCGGAUCAGGUAGGAAUACCCGCUGAACUUAA
rnacentral:rRNA from 1 species